UGAAGCCUACGGGACGCAGCAGUGGGGAAUUUUGGACAAUGGGCGCAAGCCUGAUCCAGCUAUUCCGCGUGUGGGAUGAAGGCCCUCGGGUUGUAAACCACUUUUGUAGAGAACGAAAAGACACCUUCGAAUAAAGGGUGUUGCUGACGGUACUCCAAGAAUAAGCACCGGCUAACUACGUGCCAGCAGCCGCGGUAAUACGUAGGGUGCGAGCGUUAAUCGGAAUUACUGGGCGUAAAGGGUGCGCAGGCGGUUGAGUAAGACAGAUGUGCAAACCCC
rnacentral:rRNA from 1 species